rnacentral:rRNA from 1 species
GGGUGCCCCCUUUGUGGUCGGUGUACAGGUGGUGCAUGGUUGUCGUCAGCUCGUGUCGUGAGAUGUUGGGUUAAGUCCCGCAACGAGCGCAACCCUCGCCUAUGUUGCCAGCGGGUCAUGCCGGGGACUCAUGGGAGACUGCCGGGGUCAACUCGGAGGAAGGUGGGAUGACGUCAAAUCAUCAUGCCCCUUAUGUCCAGGGCUUCACGCAUGCUACAAUGGCCGGUACAAAGAGCUGCGAACCUGCAAGGGUGAGCGAAUCUCAAAAAGCCGGUCUCAGUUCGGAUUGGGGUCUGCAACUCGACCCCAUGAAGUCGGAGUCGCUAGUAAUCGCAGAUCAGCAACGCUGCGGUGAAUACGUUCCCGGGGCUU